GGUCCCGUGGUGUAGUCCGGCCAAUCAUUUCGCCCUCUCGAGGCGACCACUCGGGUUCAAAUCCCGACGGGACCA
rnacentral:tRNA from 1 species